rnacentral:lncRNA from 1 species
GACCCAUCGCCACGUGCUGCACUGGGCAACCCCAUGGCUUUGGGGCAGCUGUACAGCAAGGAGCAGGGCUCGGCGCGGCUCAGCAGGGCUUUCGAUCAGUUGGUGCCCGCGKUGGCUGGCGCCCACACUCUGUGCCUGGCGGUGGGGGGGGGGCCUCCGGGUGUCUGGGAGGGUCUUUCUUCUGCCCAUCUUCUUGCUUGCCUAGUCACAAUUCUCAAGAAAAUAACUUGGGGCUGCACUAAUCGUCCCUCACUCAAAUUCACCUUCAGCCUGCUCGCUCCAGAGCUUUUAAACCUCCUCAGCACUUACCAGCACUCUCGGCCAAGCCUGCCGCCACAGGAGCCAUCCUCCCGCCGACGCCGCGCCGCAACCCUGCUCCAGGGCCCGCCUGCCCCCCUGCUCCGCCACGCCGCCUCCGCAGGGACGAGCACGUGCCCCGGCCUGCGCUGCCAACGAAUCGGUGCCCUAAACACCACACACGCAAAACGCAAAGUCACACCCGCGCUCCAGCACACCUUGCCCUGUGCUCCCGGCGUGGCACCAGGCCCCAGCCCGCUCCCCCCACACACACACUCACCCCGCACCGCCGCCUCCACGCAGCGACGGCCGCAGCGGGCAGGACACAGCCCGAUGCCCGACGCCUCCCGAACCUACGCGUUCGCCUCACCAGGGGCCCCAUAUCCUUCACUCCAGGCGGCCUCCGCCCUCACCCGCCGCCGAGCAAAAACGCCGACCCUGCUCGCCACCAUGCUGCUCCCGCCGCUGCGCAUGCGCUACCCGCCGCGCAUGCAGCGGCGGCCCGGCGCUCGAGCACCGCGCAUGCACCAGCUCGGACCGGCGCGAGCGGGAGGGGCGGGGGGGCGAGCGGGAGCGAGGCGAUACCCGCAAUGGCGCCCUCGCGUGCUCGCGGCGCGGCACUGCAGCCAGGCGGCUCACGUGUGCGAACCGCAGCCCGCCGCGGCAGCCCGGGGCUCCCACCGAGCAGCGAGCGCCCCGAGGCUGCCCGUGCCCGUGCCCGUGCCCGUGCCCGUGCCCGUGCCCGAGAGAGCGGCGGGGAUCAGCGAGCAGGCUCUGGUGCUGCCCCGGUGA